GGAUACAUAAAACCUAGCUAUAAACGGAAAUAAACAAAGCCAUGGAAUCUGUCCUGGACCCGAGCCAUCUGCUUGCAUCGCGAAGACCACCAGCAAAGUUUGCCAUCGCCACAAAACAGCAAAGCAAAACAGACGUUGAUAAAACAAAAGCAGGCCCGGAUGUUGCGACGUCUGCUUGCAUACACACAACGGGGCUAACGGUUCGCCGGUCAACACCCUCGCUCGCGGCUCAGUUUCCCUUUAUCCCCAUCCGAUUAAAAUCGGGAAUCCUACCCGUCCAACCAAAACCAACCCUCCGGUGCACCUUGCGGCGCUUCUUUAGCUCAACCAGAGGCAGCUUCUGCUCCUCCCGACCAAUCGACUCACAGAACAUGAAGGAGCGGUACUCGAUCUUCACAAGCGGGCUAACGUGUCAAGUGGCCGUGUGGGCGAAGACCGCGCUUGCCUGAAAAUCUUUGUGACACGGCCGUCGCACAGCGGGCACUGCGGACACAGCGUGGCGAAGGGGUAAAGAUCUGAUGCUCGCUGGAGAUAAGCGAUACGGUCACACGACUUUUUACCUGGAAGUGCUCGGGGAUCGUAUCCGACUGCGCAACCGUCCCAGCAGGCAGCCCCUCCAUGCAUGCUACACGCUCGCGGUUGGCGUAUUUUUCCCUGUUCGCUGUUGACGGUCCCUAGCUUGUUCCAGGGCACAUCUAUGAGCAAACUGUGUUGAGAUGUUAGCCCCGUUGUGUUUUUAGGAACUGAGCCGCGAGCGAGGGUGUUG
rnacentral:lncRNA from 1 species